GGUAUUUUCAGGGAGUUGGGUGUUACAGCUUGAGGGAGACUAAGAUUCCUAAACUGGUUUUUAAACAGUUUAUGCUUUGUUUAAAAUUACUCCAGAAACCUAUAAAACAAAGCCCCCAUUGAGUCCCCUCUUGUACAUCCCUAGACGAGGACCCCUGAUUGCUAGCCUGCUAGCCGGGUCAUUUUACAAACUCAUGACCUAGGUUGAGCAGUCUUGAGAAGACAGCAUGGGCACUUUCAGGUUCUGCUAUGCCAGUGGCUCACCAGAGAGUUGACUGCUUAUUCAAAACUUAAAAUGUUGGUAUGAAGAAAAAAAAUGGAACAAGUCUGAGCUCCGCUCACUUGGGAACUUGGGUACAAUACAGAAACAACGUGUGCAGACACCUGCAUUAAAGCAGCAUUCAAGUUAAACUGAGAAGGGAAUCCAGACCUGGCUACCACCGGGAGUACGGGUUUAGGGAAGGGAGACUGUAUCACACCGAGGUUUGGUGCAGUCCACGAUAAGGGGGCUGCCUACUAUUAGGUAGCGGGCUGAGCCGCCUUCCUACUGGUAUCAGAGGCCCCACCCACCUGCAUUCUUCCUGGACUGCUUGAGUCCAAACAACAGCCCGGCCCGCAGGCGGACGGAAGAGGCGGUGCUCGAUACGGAAGUCCCUGGGCCCGCUACGGUCACGUGAGUGAGGUUCCGCAUAGAACUGGCACUCAGGAGGCAUGGCACUCUGGCGAGCAUACCAGAGGGCCCUGGCUGCACAUCCGUGGAAAGUCCAGGUUCUGACAGCUGGGUCACUGAUGGGCCUAGGUGACAUUAUCUCACAGCAGCUGGUGGAAAGGCGGGGUCUCCAGCAACACCAGACUGGCCGGACCUUGACCAUGGCAUCCCUUGGCUGUGGCUUUGUGGGCCCUGUGGUCGGAGGCUGGUACAGGGUUUUGGACCACUUAAUCCCCGGCACCACCAAGGUGAAUGCACUCAAGAAGAUGUUGUUAGAUCAGGGGGGCUUUGCCCCAUGUUUCCUUGGCUGCUUUCUCCCACUGGUAGGGGUACUCAAUGGAAUGUCAGCCCAGGACAAUUGGGCCAAACUGAAGCGGGACUACCCCGACGCCCUCAUCACCAACUACUAU
rnacentral:lncRNA from 1 species